AGAGUUUGAUCCUGGCUCAGGACGAACGCUGGCGGCGUGCUUAACACAUGCAAGUCGAACGAUGAUCCGGUUUCGGCUGGUGAUUAGUGGCGAACGGGUGAGUAACACGUGGGCAACCUGCCCUCCACUCUGGGAUAACUCCGGGAAACCGGGGCUAAUACCGGAUAUGACUCGGGGUCGCAUGGCUUCGGGUGGAAAGU
rnacentral:rRNA from 1 species